rnacentral:rRNA from 1 species
CACGUAGGGCGCAAGCGUUGUCCGGAAUUAUUGGGCGUAAAGAGCUCGUAGGCGGACUGUUGCGUCCGCUGUGAAAAGCUGGGGCUUAACCCUGGCCUUGCAGUGGAUACGGGCAGACUAGAGGUAGGUAGGGGAGAAUGGAAUUCCAGGUGUAGCGGUGAAAUGCGUAGAUAUCUGGAGGAACACCGGUGGCGAAGGCGGCAUCCUGGACCAUGACUGACACUGAAAAGCGAAAGCCAGGGGAGCAAACGGG